UGCAAGUCGAGCGGUAGCACAGGAGAGCUUGCUCUCCGGGUGACGAGCGGCGGACGGGUGAGUAAUGUCUGGGAAACUGCCUGAUGGAGGGGGAUAACUACUGGAAACGGUAGCUAAAACCGCAUAACGUCUUCGGACCAAAGUGGGGGACCUUCGGGCCUCAUGCCAUCAGAUGUGCCCAGAUGGGAUUAGCUAGUAGGUGGGGUAAUGGCUCACCUAGGCGACGAUCCCUAGCUGGUCUGAGAGGAUGACCAGCCACACUGGAACUGAGACACGGUCCAGACUCCUACGGGAGGCAGCAGUGGGGAAUAUUGCACAAUGGGCGCAAGCCUGAUGCAGCCAUGCCGCGUGUGUGAAGAAGGCCUUCGGGUUGUAAAGCACUUUCAGCGAGGAGGAAGGGUUCAGUGUUAAUAGCACUGUGCAUUGACGUUACUCGCAGAAGAAGCACCGGCUAACUCCGUGCCAGCAGCCGCGGUAAUACGGAGGGUGCAAGCGUUAAUCGGAAUUACUGGGCGUAAAGCGCACGCAGGCGGUUUGUUAAGUCANAUGUGAAAUCCCCGCGCUUAACGUGGGAACUGCAUUUGAAACUGGCAAGCUAGA
rnacentral:rRNA from 1 species